rnacentral:lncRNA from 7 species
GCCUCCGCAGAAGUCUGUCCGCGAUGGGAUUUCGGCUCGCCGACAUCGUCCGACCAUCGGUGAGAAAUCGCCGAUACCGUGGUUUCCAUAUUCACCCUGCUAUGUGCCUCCUACGUGCGACACGAUCAGCCGAACGCCCAGGACCACGCAUAGAGGACAUAAGGGCGGCGAGCGCUUGAAUAGAUCUCAGCGGUGUUCCCCGGCGAGCAGGACCAGUCGCACCGGCGCCGAGGUUAGCGAGGAUGGCCCCGGCCUUUAUACACGCAUGCGGAGCCGGACUGCGAACGAUCCCUCCUGCGUGGGGC